AAUUUGAUAAAAAUAAUAACUAACUAGUCAUUACCAGUUAAAAUACAAUUAAAUCCAACUGCAAAUGCAUGGCAAGGGUGAUAAUAUGUAGGGCGUCCAAAUUUUGAUCCAAAAUUUUAUAUCUUUUUGUGCCAAAAUUAUUAUAUUAAGAGUGGGAAAGAAAAAGGAUAUCAGAUAUUUCCAAACACAUGCACGUAAUAUUUCACAUUAACACAUCAAGUAAACAAAGACAUUACGAUUGACCAUAUAGAUUAUGGCCAUAGCUGCAAUAACCAUGUAAUAGCAGCACUUAUUUAUCUAUAUGUUACACAGAUAGUGCCAUUUAUAUAUGAAAUGGCAAUAGAUUCAGAUCCAUUUAUUUUUAGCAAUGGUAAUAGCAAUAGCAAUCUCCAUGGUAGCAAUUGCCAUAAUCUGCAUCUUCGUUGUUCUUGCACCAAUGGUUACACUUCCUGGGAAAGCACUUUCCAUUCCAGCUUUUGCUAGGCUUCCCACAGUGUUUUGCUUCUGUUAUUUGCACCUCUGCACAUAUAUAGAACCAUAGUAAAGAUACUUAGAAUUCCUCUAGGUUAUUGCACAUAUAUGUUAUAUUUUAAGUGCUGAAAAAUAUUAUUAAGUGCUGAAACUGAUUGAUAAGAAAACAGUUAUAUGUUUGGAUAGAAGUCCUGAAAUUGAUAAUAAGCACUUGAUUUGUUGUGUUAAAAUAAUGCUGAUCAUAAUUUGUUCUUUUGUUAAAAUACUCUUGUGUAAUUUUUAUAAGAAAUUAUAAAUUUAAUAGUAUCUUUGUAAAGAAAAGGAGGAACGAUAAAUACGGAAUGCAAAUGAAGUUAGGAGUUUCCUUUUGUGAAAGGUAUUAAUUAAGAAUUAGUGAGAAUACAAUAAAAAAAAAUUGUCAAACUAAAAGUGCUUAUAAGCUGCAAACCAUAAGUUGAAUUGAUUUUGACUUAUACUCCCGCCGGUCCAAAAUAAGUGAUUUUUUAGCUGUUUUCACACAGAUUAAGUAAUCCACCUUUUAAC
rnacentral:lncRNA from 1 species